GGCCAGGCCCUGCGCAACUAAAGGCUGUGAACCCCGCCAGGCCUGGAAGGGAGCAACGGUAAGCGGAUACUUGGUGUGCCGCAGGUAAACUUGGCCCUU
rnacentral:SRP_RNA from 1 species